AUUGAACGCUGGCGGCAGGCCUAACACAUGCAAGUCGAGCGGAUGAAGGGAGCUUGCUCCUGGAUUCAGCGGCGGACGGGUGAGUAAUGCCUAGGAAUCUGCCUGGUAGUGGGGGAUAACGUCCGGAAACGGGCGCUAAUACCGCAUACGUCCUGAGGGAGAAAGUGGGGGACCUUCGGACCUCACGCUAUCAGAUGAGCCUAGGUCGGAUUAGCUAGUUGGUGGGGUAAAGGCCUACCAAGGCGACGAUCCGUAACUGGUCUGAGAGGAUGAUCAGUCACACUGGGACUGAGACACGGUCCAGACUCCUACGGGAGGCAGCAGUGGGGAAUAUUGGACAAUGGGCGAAAGCCUGAUCCAGCCAUGCCGCGUGUGUGAAGAAGGUCUUCGGAUUGUAAAGCACUUUAAGUUGGGAGGAAGGGCAGUAAGUUAAUACCUUGCUGUUUUGACGUUACCAACAGAAUAAGCACCGGCUAACUUCGUG
rnacentral:rRNA from 1 species